AGAGUUUGAUCAUGGCUCAGGAUGAACGCUAGCUACAGGCUUAACACAUGCAAGUCGAGGGGAAACGACAUCGAAAGCUUGCUUUUGAUGGGCGUCGACCGGCGCACGGGUGAGUAACGCGUAUCCAACCUGCCCACCACUUGGGGAUAACCUUGCGAAAGUAAGACUAAUACCCAAUGACGUCUCUAGAAGACAUCUGAAAGAGAUUAAAGAUUUAUCGGUGAUGGAUGGGGAUGCGUCUGAUUAGCUUGUUGGCGGGGUAACGGCCGACCAAGGCGACGAUCAGUAGAGGUUCUGAGAGGAAGGUCCCCCACAUUGGAACUGAGACACGGUCCAAACUCCUACGGGGAGGCA
rnacentral:rRNA from 1 species